CAUUUCUCAUUUUUAUAAUUUUUUACUUUGUCUAUUCUUCGAAUCACUCCCAACUACACACAACACAUGUCUAUCCCCUCUCUCUCUCUUACACACGUCAUCAUUGCAGUUUCACCUCUUUCUCAAUUUUGUUCCUCCAGAAGGACAGCGGGUCCGAAGCUCUGGAAGAUGCAAUUGAAGCUGAAUUUGAAGCCGUUUGAUUUCGUGGUGAUAUUUUGUGCCUAUCCUGGAACCCUAUUUAAUAGUUUGUGUUUUGCGUUUGGGACUUGAAUUUGAGUUUUGCAGCAGUGAAUAGCUGAGCAGAACUUGAGCACCAAGUAUUGUCAACUCAAAAUAGCAAGAAAAAAGGACAUUGCAGCACGCAACAGAGCAAACAAAGGAUAUUGCAGUGCACACAACAAAGCAGCCUAAGGACAACGCGACAAAGAGCAGAACAGGCAACCAAGUUGUUGCGCAUGAAGGUCAAAAGAUCAUUCUCGAGAAUCAAUGCUAGAAUCAUUCUCGAGAAUCAACCUUAUCCCCAUAUGGGAAAAUCAAUGCCCAACAUUUGGUCAAGCUAGAAGGAGACAACCUCCAUCAAACGAUGCAGAGGAUGAAUUUAGUUAAUCACAAGAUUGUUAUUGUGUCAUCCUGCCUAUAAAUAGAAGAUCAAACGAAGGCAUAAAUAGUU